UGAAUAGAAAAAAAAAGUGGUAAAUGUCGGCUGCGAAUGUUUGGAAAUUGAUCGAACGAAAAUCGCCUUAACGUUAAACAAAUGAAUUUAACGUAAUUUAUUGAAAUAAAUCGUUUGGUUUUUGUGUAAAUAUCAUUUUUUUUCUUUACAAGAAGAGAUUAAACAGAUUCUGUUCAGCUGGCAAGACAAGGAGAGCAAUCAACUUGUGAUAACUUCAUGUGUUGGUCGAGUCUCCUUUUGAGAAUAAGAAGAUUUCACAUGAUUGACAUUGCCAGAAAAAACAUGUCUCUGACUGUGCAUCAAAUUCUGAACGACGCCAAGCGUCUAGUGACCCGACUGCGAGACCACGAUAAUACUGCAGAUACUAUAAUUGCUCAAGCACAGUCACUCAAUAAGACUGUGGAAAGCAUGAAUGAAUAUAAUGAAGAUCUGGCCGAAUUAAACACAUCUAUUCAGCAGCGUCCCCGUUCUUCUCUGAUCCUAAAUAUUCAGCAAGAGAACAGACACAUUAGAGAACUCCAGCAGGAAAAUCGUGAAUUAAGAAAUAUGCUGGAAGAAUAUCAAUCUGUUUUGGAACUAAUCAUGAGCAAAUAUCGUCAGCAGGUUACUAAACUCGUUCAGUCUACAUCGGUCGACCGUGCUUGGGGCGAACUAGAUAAUUAUAAGGAAUUACAAGAACAGGCAGACAGAAUUUGUGAUAUGGCAGCAAUUAUCAAACAAGCCAUAGAAAUAGACGAUGGUAAUUACGCUUACGAACAGGAACGUUUGACACAACUCCUAACGGAAAACAAAGGACUGAGAGAAUUGCUGGAAAUAAGUCGCACUUCAGGAUCGCUAGGACGACCGUCAAAUGCACCGGAUACCACAGAGAAAGAAGUACAGACCGACACAUGACCAUUUUAUUGAUUGGGAGAAUUGCAUUUUUUCAGUGCAUGAAUUAAUGUUACUACUGUAUAUUACACACUACUAUACUGUAUAUUAUACAUGUUGUCAUCACUACAGAAACCUGAUCAGAGAAAAAAAAUUUGUUGAGAAGUAUUUAAUAAGGCAGCAAAUUACUUUUAAUGAAUUUAUAUUGUUUUAAAAAUUAUUUAGGAAUUUAAAAGGGAAAAGGAACCAAACAAUAUACACUGCCAUUUUGGAGGACAAAUAUAUUGCUUUGUACAAACGUAGCCGCAAGAUUUGUAAAUAGGUCGCUCGUAAGAGUUUCAGGAAUGAUUAGCGAUAAUCACUUUAGUCAAAUUCACUUUCACGGAUUUAAAUAUUAGGCCCGAACAAAGGUGAGGCUGCAAAAUUAUUUAAAUUGCAUAUUGCUUUCUUUAGAUUUUUUGUGAAUUAUUGUUUUAUAUUGUAAUAUGUUUAUAUAUAUUCAAAGUUUUAGUUUGUAAAUAUAUUGUCAAUCAUGUUCUUUUUUCAGUAUAUUUGGUGAAUAAAUCUGUAUUUCAUGAUAAGUUUG
rnacentral:misc_RNA from 1 species